GAAAGAUUCCUCAUCGCUACAGAAAUAAUCGGGAUCUGAGUUCAGCUACGAGCCAGGAAGAUGAAGUGCUGCCUUCUCUCUGUUGCAUUGGCUGUUCUGCUGUUCGUCGUCAUAAUCAUCGCAGUCUCAGUCAAGGGCUGAUCUGGCUGCAGUUUCCACAGAGCCUGUGAUCACCCUGUGAAGUGGAAUGGAUUCUCAAGGCGUUUCAGAUUCAGACCCUACGUCAAUGUCUGCUUUACUGACCACAUUAUAAUGAAACUGCUAUAGCCAAUACACACUAAUCAUACGAAAGAAAAGCUAAGUUUUAUACUGU
rnacentral:lncRNA from 14 species